UACUUAUAAAUUAUUUAAAUAUACAUAAUUAUUCUUAUUUUUAAAAAUUCAAAAUCAUUUAACAUAUCUCUUAUUUUAUAAAGCUCCAAAAAAAAUUCGAUAUCUUUCUAAAUCACUUGAAAUAUAUUCUAAAAUAACCAUCUUCUUUCUAGUCUUGCUCUCCAAUCAACAAAAGAAUCCUAAAAGCAUAGUUUGUACAUAUUUAUAUGUUAUAGGGUCUGAUUUUGACCUUGUUUCACAACUAGUCCUCUCUAGAUAUUAAAUCUUUGUUUCAUGAGAUAAUCUUUAUUAUAAACUACUUUUAAUUCUUUCCUAAAGAUGUGCAUAUAAUUUAUUUUUUU
rnacentral:lncRNA from 1 species